rnacentral:lncRNA from 1 species
CCGACAGAUCCGAACUCUCUAGCAAGUCACGACAAUGGCCACCACCCUACUCCACUCUCUACAACAGAUUCCUUCCACUACUCUCUGGCAAGUCGUGACAACGGACACCACUCCACUCUCCGUAACAAACUCCAUGUGGCCCUGAACGACCCCUGAUGCCACUACUCUCCGUAACAAACUCCAGACGGCUCUGAACAGCCCACUAUCAGGCAGUUACAGACGUCGCUGUCAAUCAGUUACGCCCUCCAUCUAUAAAAAGGGACCCCCAGAUACGUUCU